CCUACGGGUGGCAGCAGUGAGGAAUAUUGGUCAAUGGCCGGAAGCCUGAACCAGCCAAGCCGCGUGAAGGACGAAGGUGCCAAGCAUUGUAAACUUCUUUUGUCAAGGGACAAAAUCAGGCUCGAGAGCCUGACCGCGGGUACUUGAAGAAAAAGCAUCGGCUAACUCCGUGCCAGCAGCCGCGGUAAUACGGAGGAUGCGAGCGUUAUCCGGAUUUAUUGGGUUUAAAGGGUGCGUAGGCGGACUGUUAAGUCAGCGGUAAAAGCCCGGGGCCAAACCCCGGCGAGCCGUUGAAACUGGGGGGCUUGAGUAGUCGAGAGGUAUGCGGAAUGCGCAGUGUAGCGGUGAAAUGCUUAGAUAUGGCGCAGAACUCCGAUUGCGAAGGCAGCAUACCGGCGGCGAUCUGACGCUGAGGCACGAAAGCGUGGGUAUCGAACAGGAUUAGAUACCCGGGUAGUC
rnacentral:rRNA from 1 species